rnacentral:sRNA from 1 species
AAUUACUAAAUUCACUCGACCACAACAGGCUGAUGCCAGAAGCAGGAUGUGGUCGAGUAACACGUCGAGUAACAGACAGGAAACGAGACAACUGCACUCGACUGCACAGUCUGUUGCCAGAUACUGGGUGUGGUCGAGUAAGUUGGUCGAGUAAUUGCAAAAACUAAGAAACAGGCAAUGAGAACGAUUAAGUGACAACGAUAAAAUAGAGAAAUCAGAUAGACAAGAAAUUUCUAAGGAUGGGGUAAUCGAAUAGAGUGGUAUCCUAGCCUAUUUGAAUGGUUA